rnacentral:tRNA from 1 species
CCAUGGCACAGUGGAAGAGCAUCUGCUUGGCAUGUAGAAGGUGCUGGGUUCAAUCCCUGUAAGUUCCAGUGAAAAGG